CGCAAGAGGAGAAAGCCGCUGCUGCUGCUGACCGUACACGCAAUUCUUCUUUCCGUGCGAGCACUUGAUGCCAUCGGAAGGUUCAAAGUUCGCAUCCUGGUCCAGGUCUUGUCAUCCAUUUGGGCAUCAAUUCGAUGCCGAUGAUGGGAUUUUAAGAAGUGUGGAGCGGUUUUCUGUGCGGCGUUCCGAUGUUUACAUCGCCGAGUCUACCUCGCGGAGGCCCAGCAACCUGGUUCGAGAUACCUCGCCAGUGAUGUCAGCCCGCGGCGUGGUUUCGCCAACCGCUGCGCCACCGCUCCUCGUCGUCGUCACACGCUCAUGGAGCACUCCGUAAGCGACCUGGCAGACGAAUGACAGUGCAACGAAGUGGCGUGUCAUGUGGACAUUUACAGCAGCCAAAUACUCUACACGCACGGCGGAAACUCAAACGAUGGGGCCAGUUAUAACAAGCAUUAUAAUUGCGUACGUAUCUAGCGGGUGCUGUUGCAUUGGGAUGUGUGGUCAACACCAGUUAACAUUUCGCCUUUUCGUCGUUUGGCUGUGGGAAGACAACCGGCGAACCCGGUUGAGUGGUGGAGGAAACCCGUACAGAACACGUGAGAGGACACACAAACUCCACGUGCAGGAAGGUGCCCCGAGUCGGGGGUCGGACGCGGCUUCUUUGCGUUUUGUUUGACCGCACGCGGCGGAGGCACGAGGCGCGGCCACUCGCGGCGCGGGCCCCUGGUGCUUGGGCAACGGCGUCCACGAGGUUUUAAUCGCGAUCAGUUUUCAGCCCCGUUGCUUAGCAGAGAGGAUUAUUGCAUAAUUCAUGGAGAUUUACAUUUAUAUUAGCGGCAAGCACGACUCCGAGGGGAGGGGAUCGUGGCAUUCGGGGAUAUUCCCCACGCGGAGCUCCCCAUUUUUUUAUUUUUUUAUUUUUACCUGCGCAGAAUCAAGACCGCUUAACAGGAGUUUGGCUUCAAGCGCAGAGUUGACACUCGGGGGCAGUAACCUCGGCCGAUCUAUUCGUCCACUCGCCACGCAUCACCCUCCAGAGCAGUGGGUCUCAACCGAGGCGACACGCGGACUCCUGGGGGUCGGGUGGCAAUGUCCCAUGGGGGGGGUACGUGCCGUGAUUUAUACUCGCGUGUGAAAUUAUAUCUUACGCGAGUGCCAUUGGUGAAUCAUCACGUUGUAUGAACCUGCCAAUAGAAAAAUAACGACGAUGGACAAUUUAAAUCGAUAUGGUAACCUCCAUCGAUAUAAAAUAACUUCUCAAACUCACUCAUCGUAAACUAUUUUGGUUUCCAAGAGUAGCCAGCGAGGGCGAACAAACUACGGCCGCAUGCAGAGCGUCCGUUGGUUUUUUUAAAUUCUCUUACAGAAAUGUAUGAAUAAUGAAGAUCGAUAUUUUAACCAAUUGUCCAUUUUGUGAGGUAUCCCCUAGAGCAGGGGUCGGCAACCGAUGGCUCGCGAGCCAGAUGUGAUAAGACUUAUAAGACUUAUAAGUCGUUUCAUGUUAAGAAAUGUCAGCUAAGAAUUAUUUGCGAGCCAGA